GUUGAAGGGCUGCAGUAUACUGACUGUACAAAGGUAGCAUAAUAAAUAGUUUCUUAAUUGGAAGCUGGAAUGAAAGGCUUAAUGAAAAAUCUGCUGUCUUAUUUAAAAAAUUAGAAUUUUAUGCUUAGGUAAAAAUGCCUAAAUGUGUGAGUGGGACGAGAAGACCCUGUAGAAUUUUAUUUUAUUAUGAGGUUAGUAAAAAGAUUUGAAUUUGAGAGGUAAUUGUGAAGUAAAAUUUAAUUGGGGUGAUUAAAAAAUAAUUAACUUUUAUUUAUUAGUGUUAUAUAUAAGUAUUUAUUUGAUCCAUGUUGGAUGAUUAGAAGAUAAAUUACCUCAGGGAUAMCAGCGUGAUUU
rnacentral:rRNA from 1 species